rnacentral:piRNA from 1 species
UGAGAACUCAGACUUGGAUUUGACAAGGGC